CAAGCGGUAGUUUAGACCCCUAGAAUUUUGGCUUUGGGUGCCAGUGGUGGAAGUGAAAAUCUUUCUUGCUUGA
rnacentral:tRNA from 1 species